rnacentral:rRNA from 1 species
CCUACGGGAGGCUGCAGUGAGGAAUAUUGGUCAAUGGGCGGGAGCCUGAACCAGCCAAGCCGCGUGAGGGAAGAAGGUACAGCGUAUCGUAAACCUCUUUUGUCAGGGAACAAAGGCGGGGACUAGUCCCCGGAUGAGGGUACCUGAAGAAAAAGCAUCGGCUAACUCCGUGCCAGCAGCCGCGGUAAUACGGAGGAUGCGAGCGUUAUCCGGAUUUAUUGGGUUUAAAGGGUGCGCAGGCGGCCUGUUAAGUCAGCGGUAAAAGCCCGGGGCUCAACCCCGGCGAGCCGUUGAAACUGUGUCCCUUGAGUGCGCGAAGGGUAGGCGGAAUGCGUGGUGUAGCGGUGAAAUGCAUAGAUAUCACGCAGAACUCCGAUCGCGAAGGCAGCCUACCGGCGCGCAACUGACGCUCAUGCACGAAAGCGUGGGUAUCGAACAGGAUUAGAUACCCUUGUAGUC